AUUGAACGCUGGCGGCAGGCUUAACACAUGCAAGUCGAACGAGUGGCGGAAGGGUGAGUAAUGUAUGGGGACUGCCCGAUAGAGGGGGAUAACUACUGGAAACGGUAGCUAAUACCGCAUACUAUCGGAUAAUCCAUAUGGGAUUAGCUAGUUGGUGAGGUAAUGGCGCACCAAGGCGACGAUCCCGAGCUGGUCUGAGAGGAUGAUCAGCCACACUGGGACUGAGACACGGCCCAGACUCCUACGGAGGCAGCAGUGGGGAAUAUUGCACAAUGGGCGCAAGCCUGAUGCAGCCAUGCCGCGUGUAUGAAGAAGGCCUGAGGGUUGUAAAGUACUUUCAGUCGGGAGGCGUUACCGACAGAAGAAGCACCGGCUAACUCCGUGCCAGCAGCCGCGGUAAUAC
rnacentral:rRNA from 1 species